GGAAGUAAAAGUCGUAACAAGGUUUCCGUAGGUGAACCUGCGGAGGGAUCAUUACACAAAUAUGAAGGCGGGCUGGAACCUCUCGGGGUUACAGCCUUGCUGAAUUAUUCACCCUUGUCUUUUGCGUACUUCUUGUUUCCUUGGUGGGUUCGCCCACCACUAGGACAAACAUAAACCUUUUGUAAUUGCAAUCAGCGUCAGUAACAAAUUAAUAAUUACAACUUUCAACAACGGAUCUCUUGGUUCUGGCAUCGAUGAAGAACGCAGCGAAAUGCGAUAAGUAGUGUGAAUUGCAGAAUUCAGUGAAUCAUCGAAUCUUUGAACGCACAUUGCGCCCUUUGGUAUUCCAAAGGGCAUGCCUGUUCGAGCGUCAUUUGUACCCUCAAGCUUUGCUUGGUGUUGGGCGUCUUGUCUCUAGCUUUGCUGGAGACUCGCCUUAAAGUAAUUGGCAGCCGGCCUACUGGUUUCGGAGCGCAGCACAAGUCGCACUCUCUAUCAGCAAAGGUCUAGCAUCCAUUAAGCCUUUUUUUCAACUUUUGACCUCGGAUCAGGUAGGGAUACCCGCUGAACUUAAGCAUAUCAAUAAGCGGAGGA
rnacentral:misc_RNA from 1 species